AGUGAUUCUCCUGCCUCAGCCUCCCAAGUUGCUGAGAUUACAGGUUCUUCAUUUGUGAACAAAUGACAUUUUAUGCUGAAGAUAGGCUUGCACCUGAGAGUCAACAACAGGGCCUUGUUAGAUCUGGGCUGUGCAAUGUUGUUAAGCUGUCCCAUGAUCCAGCAGAUUAGAGCAUUAGGGACACCCUGACACACUGAAGACUUGACAUCACUUCAGAUGAAAAUGCUAAGAUUGGUAGGUUUCUCCCUACCACAGGGAAAUUAGAAAUUAUGAAAUACAUUGCAAAGACACAAGCCACGUAACAUGGAAUGCUGGCUUGGAAAAAAAGGACCUGAGCUUAUGUUUAAUCCCACCCUUACCUCUGGGAACUGGGGCACAUUUCUGGGUUUUGAAUUUCUCUUCUGUAAAAAGAAGACCAAUGGCCAGUUCAGCCAUGGCCAGUUCAUCACUAAUAUCCCUUGAAACUCCGUGAAUAUAUUCUAUGAAUACAAGCCUUAGAGGCAGCCUCUUGCUGCAAAAAUGCAGCUACAAGUCUUUGAUUCUUCUGUGGGUGAGAUGAACACAGUCAUGCCAAAAUCAUAGUGUUUUAUAAUAAUCAAACAAGUUAAUGUUUAUGAAAUAGCUUUGGAAAUUGAAAAAGGCUACGAAAUAUUGCAUUACAUAUGCAAUUUGCGAUAAUUGGAGUAAUUAAUACUCAUUUGAGAUCAGCCAUGUUGGAGUAGGUUAGAUCACUCACAUUCCUCUCUUCAUGUACUGAUCUAGUAACAUUUGAUCAUCACUUCAGAGGUUACAGAUGAUGUGCUGCUGUCUAUUGGAUGAUGCAGUUUAUGGUUUUAAAAUCCUAAGGGCCACCCUAAGAACCCAGGGUUACAAUAUGCUCAAUAUUUCUACUGAUGAUACUGAAAAGUCAAUUUCUAGAGGAUUCUCUACUUAAGAAGACAAAAAUCCUUGACAAAUACCUGCUUGGUUCCAAGAUAUGGUGGCAUAAGUUGAGCAAAAUAACAGAUCAAUGGAAAAGCAUGGACAAGAUAGGUAAUAAAUUCCUACUCCAUUGGCUAUAGUACUGAGCAUUUACUUUGCUAAAAGGAUGCUGGUUCAAUGUGUCAUGGAAGGAGUGCCCUGCAGAAUAAAUUUUGGUCUUGAAA